UAUAUAGCUCUUGCGGUUCCUGUUCCUGCCACUCCUAUGGGGAGGAGUCUAUCUUUCCGUCACGUCCCGUGAUCUUCCGGUCGCUGAUCCCUGUCUAUUCCCCUACAAACUGGAAUACCUCUUGAGCUGAGAUAAGAUCCCUCAGAUGUACCAAAUGCCAGAUUAAUUAUUUAUGGGGCUGCUGUCUCCCUGAAGGGAAGAAAUGUCCAAACUGAAGAAGGAGGCAGAGAAAAGGUUCAGCUGGCUUCUUGGAUCAGCUUUACGGCCGUUUUGCAACGCCAGGCUGCUGCAGAAAGGGGAACCGUGGAGCCAAGAAUUUGGCCUCUGGAUUUCAGUGAUAUUAACACCCAGAAAGAAUUCCUGGGAAGGACCACUUCCAUAGCAAACUGGAGCCAU